CCGUACCGCAAACCGACACAGGUAGUCAAGAUGAGAAUUCUAAGGUGAGCGAGCGAACUCUCGUUAAGGAACUCGGCAAAAUGACCCCGUAACUUCGGGAGAAGGGGUGCUCUUUAGGGUUAACGCCCAGAAGAGCCGCAGUGAAUAGGCCCAAGCGACUGUUUAUCAAAAACACAGGUCUCUGCUAAACCGUAAGGUGAUGUAUAGGGGCUGACGCCUGCCCGGUGCUGGAAGGUUAAGAGGAGUGGUUAGCUUCUGCGAAGCUACGAAUCGAAGCCCCAGUAAACGGCGGCCGUAACUAUAACGGUCCUAAGGUAGCGAAAUUCCUUGUCGGGUAAGUUCCGACCCGCACGAAAGGCGUAACGAUUUGGGCACUGUCUCAACGAGAGACUCGGUGAAAUCAUAGUACCUGUGAAGAUGCAGGUUACCCGCGACAGGACGGAAAGACCCCGUGGAGCUUUACUGUAGCCUGAUAUUGAAAUUCGGCACAGCUUGUACAGGAUAGG
rnacentral:rRNA from 1 species